ensembl:Y_RNA Y_RNA Y RNA
AACUGGUCCGACUGCAGUAGUGUUUACAACUAAUUGAUCACAACCAGUUACAGGUUUAUUUCUUCUCCACUCCCGCUGCUUCACUUGACUGGCCUAAA